UUGUGUAAGAGGUGGGCGGAACGGAUACCAUUUGGUUGUCAACCAAUAUAAAGUACCUCCAGCUAGGCCGAAAUAAUUUUAGUCCGUCGUACAACCAUCGACCUCAAACCAGAAUGAUUUUUGGGAAAAACAUGUCUCUACUUAUUCAUAUUAUUGUAGUAUUAGUCUUAGUGCAAUUURUAAUUCCUGCGUGGAGUGACGAAGAUCUAACACAAACUGCAGAGUAUAAUUCAGAUAUAGAACAAAGAGAACCGCAAAGGAGAGGGCCAUGUUGGUUUAUCCGAUGUUCAAGGAGGAGAAGGAGAAGGAGGAAUUAUAUCAGAAAGAAGCCAUCACGUUCAAGCCUUUCGUAUGACGAGCUGUCAUUGGACUGACAAUGUUGCGCUGCAAGUCCGAAAUGAUGUAAUGAUGCAAUAGUGAGCAUUUUAUUUGCAUAACACGAAUCAGUAGUAAAACCUGUAUAACUUCGGCUUUCUUUUCGGAUGAUUUAUUGAAAAGGAAUAGAUUUAAAAACAAGAGGGGAGUUGACUUGAAAAGUGGACAUCGUUUAAUGAAUGAUUAAUUUGUAAAUGUGAAACAUAGCAAAUAAAAGAAUAUAUUGUUAUUA